rnacentral:sRNA from 1 species
UAUUUUGAUUAAAUGCUAAAAUAUUACAGGCCAUAGACUUAAGGUUUAAAAAGAAGUUUCCUUAUUUGCUGGUAUUGUUAUUUUUUCAUAAAGAUUCAGGAAUUCAUUCUUCACAGUGGGCUAUAUUGAACGCACUCAAUGAACUACUUGGUAUAACUGGUAACUGAGUGGAGGGAUCAGUACUUCUAUUUUGUUGGACUUGUUCCACUUUAUAGCUCCAAAAUGCAUAAUGGGCUCUUAUUCUUUGGCAUGAUCCCUUUUAAUGGUUAUGGAAGGCUUUUUUAUCCAGAAAGUCUCAAUAGGAUCUCGGACCAUUAUCACUUAUUUGCUGGUUUUUUUUUCUCAUUAUCGCUUUCGUCGCUUUCCGAAUCUUUUUUCCCUCCGGUCUCCUGGCUAUUCUUACAUAUCCAUACAGUGGCCU